UACGUAGGCAGCGAGCGUUGUUCGGAGUUACUGGGCGUAAAGGGUGUGUAGGCGGUUAUUUAAGUUUGGUGUGAAAUCUCCCGGCUUAACUGGGAGGUGCGCCGAAUACUGAAUGACUUGGAGUGCGGGAGAGGAAAGUGGAAUUCCUGGUGUAGCGGUGAAAUGCGUAGAUAUCAGGAGGAACACCGGUGGUGUAGACGGCUUUCUGGACCGUAACUGACGCUGAGACACGAAAGCGUGGGUAGCAAACAGG
rnacentral:rRNA from 1 species